CCUACGGGUGGCAGCAGUGGGGAAUAUUGGUCAAUGGGCGAAAGCCUGAUCCAGCCAUGCCGCGUGUGUGAAGAAGGCCUUCGGGUUGUAAAGCACUUUCAGUGGGGAAGAAAGCCUUGGGGCUAAUACCCUCGAGGAAGGACAUCACCCACAGAAGAAGCACCGGCUAACUCCGUGCCAGCAGCCGCGGUAAUACGGAGGGUGCGAGCGUUAAUCGGAAUUACUGGGCGUAAAGCGCGCGUAGGCGGUCUGAUAAGCCGGUUGUGAAAGCCCCGGGCUCAACCUGGGAACGGCAUCCGGAACUGUCAGGCUAGAGUGCAGGAGAGGAAGGUAGAAUUCCCGGUGUAGCGGUGAAAUGCGUAGAGAUCGGGAGGAAUACCAGUGGCGAAGGCGGCCUUCUGGACUGACACUGACGCUGAGGUGCGAAAGCGUGGGUAGCAAACAGGAUUAGAUACCCUAGUAGUC
rnacentral:rRNA from 1 species